rnacentral:misc_RNA from 1 species
GAAAUGCGAUAAGUAAUGUGAAUUGCAGAAUUCAGUGAAUCAUCGAAUCUUUGAACGCACCUUGCGCUCCUUGGUAUUCCGAGGAGCAUGCCUGUUUGAGUGUCAUGGAAUUCUCAACUCUAUUUGCUUUUGUGAAUAGAGCUUGGAUUUGGAGGUUUAUUGCUGGUACUUGUGAUCGGCUCCUCUUGAAUGCAUUAGCUCGAACCUUUGCGGAUCAGCUAUCGGUGUGAUAAUUGUCUACGCCGUUGCAGUGAAGCAUAUCAAUGGGCUCGGCUUCCAAUCGUCCUUUACUGGACAAUGACUUUGACCUUUGACCUCAAAUCAGGUAGGAUUACCCGCUGAACUUUAGC